CUCUCUCUCUCUCUCUCUCUCCUGUAGGUGUUUUCUGCUGCGGUCCAUCCCCAAAAGCAGCCAUCCUGAACGGAGACACAGACAUCAAAUACGAUACUCCGUUUGUCUUUGCUGAGGUCAACGCUGACUCUGUCGAUUGGCUGGUCAAACCUGACGGUUCACUGGAGAAAAUAGAGGCUUUCGCUGACUUAGUGGGACAACAUAUCUCAACAAAAGCUGUGGGUAGUGAUGCAAGGGUCGACAUCACCGACACCUAUAAACCUGAGGAGGGAUCAAGCAAAGAUAGGGUCGUCUUCAGAAGAGCCAUCCUCAAACACUUCAAGCACCUUAAUAAGAUUAGAGAGGAGGAGAAGAAGAAGAGGGAG